rnacentral:lncRNA from 1 species
GCAACCCAGCAGAAUGAAAGUAUGAAUCUCUAGAUGUAGUUAUCAUGUGAUUCAGUCUUUCUAUCAUGAGUCUCGACUUGAUGGAGGUCAUGAAAAACUCAUCAAACUCAAUUGUCAGUCAUAUGCAAGAUUGGCUCGACUCGAGUUCACUUGUGAAUCCUGUGGAAAUUUUUUUUCAGUAUUCACUUUUGCUCUAGCCAAAGACUUCUUGAACUCAGUCUUAUGAAUCACAUAGGACUACUUUUUUAUCAAGAUCAAUAGAUUUCAUCUAGGUGCAUCCUACUCCAAACAGCAAACUUGAACCUACAAUAGUCAACAUACACAGCAAGAAUCCGAAUGGCUAGGGAUCAAAAGAAUGUGCAGUCAAACUAAGUAGUCUCGCUAUGAAUAGCCAACACACCGCAGGUCAAAAGAUCAGUCACACCACUGCAGCAUCGAGAAAACCAUUGAUGACUGAGUAGACAUCCAAGUGGUUUCUCAUAUUGGUCACGCUCAGUGCAAGUUAUUCUUUAACAACCACUUAUACUCUCACCC